rnacentral:rRNA from 1 species
GAUGAACGCUAGCGGCAGGCCUAACACAUGCAAGUCGAGGGGUAGAGUUCUUCAGGACUUGAGACCGGCGCACGGGUGCGUAACGCGUAUGCAAUCUACCUUAUACAGGGGAAUAGCCCCAGAGAAAUUUGGAUUAAUGCCCCAUAGUGUUAUCGAAUCGCAUGGUUUGAUAACUAUAGUUCCAACGGUAUAAGAUGAGCAUGCGUCCCAUUAGUUAGUUGGUAAGGUAACGGCUUACCAAGACAAUGAUGGUAGGGGUCCUGAGAGGAUGAUCAGCCACACUGGGACUGAGACACGGCCCAGACUCCUACGGGAGGCAGCAGUGGGGAAUUUUGGACAAUGGGGGCAACCCUGAUCCAGCCAUGCCGCGUGCGGAAAGAAGGCCU